GGGUCAGUAGGUUGGUCGUGCCACCGGUACGUACUGGUCUCACUGAUUCCUCCUUCCUGAAGAACCGUAAUGCCAUUAAUUUGGUGUUGCGGGGAAACAGGACUGUUACUUUGAAAAAAUUAGAGUGUUUAAAGCAAGCUAACGCUUGAAUACAUUAGCACGGAAUAACGAAAUAGGACGAUCGAUCCUAUUUUGUUGGUUUCUAGGAUUGACGUA
rnacentral:rRNA from 1 species